ACGGAGAAAUAGAUGGACGGGUGACCAUUCAGGAGCCCUGCAAAGGCCUUCUACCCCGAAGGAGACAGCAUGGGGUGGAGCUCUGCAAGGCUCCUGCAGGCAGAGGAGAGAGAGAAGAUACACGUGUGGAAGACGCCCUUUGUCCUUUACUGGGGGUGUGCCCGGAAAGUAGAAUCUCAUGUUGGCGAGUGUGAUUGUCUGAAGGUUUCAUAGAAAUGAUCUGGAGUAACCAGGCCAUCUUUUAUUUAUGAACCUGGGCGAGAGCAAGCUCUUUCACAUACUGGUCAGCCCAGGAAUUUCCUUCUGUCUCAAGGGUUUAUUCCCCAGUAUAUGAGCUUCAGCUGUGAUCACAGCCAAUUCCUGGUCGGAGGAACAAGGCAUCUCGCAAAGCUUGACCUUGCUCACCAUGCUUAAUGAGAGUACCAACAGCACGGAGGGAACCCCAUUGUUUCCAUAGCAUAUGCUGAAAUCAUAAAGCACAC